AUGGAAGGCCUGCCGUUCAUGAAGCAUGGUUAUGUCUUCAUUGCGCACCGCCAGAUGAACGACAUGCUAGGACACGCUAUCCCUGAUUUAUGCCGCUUCAGCUUGGAUGAGUCUCCAUCAUGUGGAACCGGAUUAGAAAGCUGCGACAAUGAUUGCCGUUGCCCACCACUAUGGAUCGUGCCAUCCAUGAAGAACACCUGGGACUGGAACCUGGAGGAGGACAUGCAUAAUUACUUAUGCAAGUCAAAGAAGGAUUGGCCGGUUCUGCCGGCUGGCGUCAAGUUCGAUCCCAUGGAUCAGGAGCUGAUCGAGCACCUUGAGGCCAAACGCAAUUCCAGGGCGUUCAAAAGGGGCACGUGGACGCAUCGCAAGAUACAGUCGGACUGCGGCAUGCACGCGAUGUGGCACAAGACCGGCAAUACCUUGCCGGUGAUGGUCAACGGCAAGAAGACGGGCAGCAAAAAAGGUUCUGGUGCUGCACACCAACAAGAACAUCGACCAGCAGAGGACCAACUGGGUGAUGCACCAGUACCACCUCGGGGACCUGGAGCAAGAGAAGGAGUGGGAACUGGUUCUCUGCAAGAUUUUCUACCAGACGAACACUAG
rnacentral:rRNA from 1 species